rnacentral:tRNA from 1 species
GGAGAUGUAGCUCAGAGGUAGAGCACUGGCCUGGCAGAAGCCAGUUCUGUGUGCCGUCUCCA